rnacentral:rRNA from 1 species
GAUGAACGCUAGCGGCAGGCUUAAUACAUGCAAGUCAAGGGGGUAGCAAUACAACCGGCGCACGGGUGAGUAACGCGUACACAACAUACCAUAUACUGGGGUAUAGCUUUGGGAAACUGAAGGUAAUCCCCAUAACAUUGCGAGAGGGCAUCUGAUUGCAAUUAAAGUUUCGGCGGUAUAUGAUUGGUGUGCGUUUGAUUAGCUAGUUGGUAGGGUAACGGCCUACCAAGGCGACGAUCAAUAGCUGGCGUGAGAGCGCGACCAGCCACACUGGAACUGAGACACGGUCCAGACUCCUACGGGAGGCAGCAGUAGGGAAUAUUGGACAAUGGAGGAAACUCUGAUCCAGCCAUGCCGCGUGAUAGAUGAAGGCCCUCUGGGUUGUAAAUAAUCUUUUAUCUGGAAGAAGCAAUCUUAUUCUUAAGAUCUUGACGGUACCAGAGGAAUAAG